rnacentral:rRNA from 1 species
GGUGAGUAACACGUGAGUAACCUGCCCCUGACUCUGGGAUAAGCGUUGGAAACGACGUCUAAUACUGGAUAUGACUGCCGGCCGCAUGGUCUGGUGGUGGAAAGAUUUUUUGGUUGGGGAUGGACUCGCGGCCUAUCAGCUUGUUGGUGAGGUAAUGGCUCACCAAGGCGACGACGGGUAGCCGGCCUGAGAGGGUGACCGGCCACACUGGGACUGAGACACGGCCCAGACUCCUACGGGAGGCAGCAGUGGGGAAUAUUGCACAAUGGGCGAAAGCCUGAUGCAGCAACGCCGCGUGAGGGAUGACGGCCUUCGGGUUGUAAACCUCUUUUAGUAGGGAAGAAGCGUAAGUGACGGUACCUGCAGAAAAAGCACCGGCUAACUACGUGCCAGCAGCCGCGGUAAUACGUAGGGUGCAAGCGUUGUCCGGAAUUAUUGGGCGUAAAGAGCUCGUAGGCGGUUUGUCGCGUCUGCUGUGAAAUCCCGAGGCUCAACCUCGGGCUUGCAGUGGGUACGGGCAGACUAGAGUGCGGUAGGGGAGAUUGGAAUUCCUGGUGUAGCGGUGGAAUGCGCAGAUAUCAGGAGGAACACCGAUGGCGA